AACUUUGCACAGUGGCAGUAUCCUAGCCAACGAGGUUAAUCUGAGGUGUGAUGAUUGCUAAUUGAAAAAUAAAAAAAAUAAAAAUGCAAUUUUGUGAAAACAAAAUGGUUGUUGCUGCUGUAUUUACGAAAU